UUUUAAUAUUAAAAAUACGGUUUGAAAAGCCUUGUGCUUGGUAGAUUAAUAGGGAAUUCGGUGAGAAUCCGAAGCAACCGCCAUUACUGUAUUUGACGAUGAAACAGCGUGUACCAUUUGCCCUUGCAGAGAAGGUGCUGUUUGUGUGAGUAUCACUACAUCAUAAGUCAGGAGACCUGCCGUAUUUUCAUAGGUAAU
rnacentral:ncRNA from 2 species